rnacentral:lncRNA from 12 species
UGAUAUUCUAUCAAAGUUCUAGUGAAACAAAUAUUAGCAUUAGUGUUCCAAAGACUUCCUUAUUCUGAAAUUCCGUUUCUGUCUUCAGGUGCGGAGAGCAUUGCUGCAGAGCAUCUACCUCUUAGUUUGAAAUUUUCACAAGGCUUUUACCUGAAGACAAAUUUGUCUGACUGAUGAUGGCUGACUACACUGCAUUGCAAAAUCAGGUCCAUUGUUCUCCAAAAGAAUUCUCUUGACUGUGUUCACUGGCAAAAGUAAGUGUUCCAAACUCUACUAUAGACUGACUGGGUAUUUUGUCUUUGUCCUUUUCUUUUUUAGAAACCCUCUGGAAUAUAAUGUAUUAUAAUACAUAUAAUACAAUAUACAAUACAAUUAUACAAUACAAAUAUACAAUACAUUAUACAAUAUAAUAUAAUGUUUAUAACCUAAGGCAUAAUGUUUAAAUUGUUCUCCAGGAGGAAUAUUAACAAAAUACCUUGAGAACAUUUAUAUCUGCUGGAGUAGGUCACUUUCCCAAUUCAACUGGGGGAGAUGUGGAGAUGCUGCAUAUGAACUUGUAUGGAUGAGUAGGAUGUGAAGGGCUGAACUGGGAAAGGAGAGAAGAAAUGUAAAGAAUAGGACAUAAUAAGAUAUAUGGACACUGGCUUUUCAAUCAGAAAGAAUGUAGCAAUUUUUCUUGCUAUCUCAUUCUGAGCUUGCUAAUUAUUUUGUGAAUGCUCCAUCUGAAAUAUUGAAACCGUUCUCCUAACCGCUGUCAGUCGGUUUGGGGCAUAAAAUAGCUAUUUUGCCAAGCCUUGAGUGUCACUAGUUGCGUGUCUCUAAAUGAAAGUUCCGCAUGUUAAUGCUAACUGUGACAUGAAUAGUAAGAUU